CAUAACACGAGGAAUCAAUUUAAAUUGAGUUGCAUUGCUGACAUACGGUUAUCACCGACUCGCCUACGAUAAUUGAUAUAUAUUAACGACCGUGGCACAGCCUCAGAAUAUCGAAGCUGGGAUUAGCGAACAGUAUUCCUGCUCCAUUGCAGCAAAAACGUAUGACAAAAAAAUUGUCGAUACAUCGACUGAAAUAGGUUAUUGCUAACAAUACUAUAACUAACGACGUGCCAGUCUACGAGCUAGAGUACAAGAUGUGUGUCCAGUCGAAUCUCAGAUUGCGAGAAACUGGAAAUUUGAAUUCCUGGGCUCAAAAUACGUCGAAUAUAUACAACAAUUAACUUCAAAAUCGGAUGAAGUUGACGAAGCUAUAGUCGGAUUUCAUACAGCCUCAGAAAUGAGAUCUGAAAUAUCAUUUUUUUUUGACUCAGCAUGCUGCAGCAGCAAGGAAUGCCAUCGGGUAAGAUAAAACGUACUUCAAAAUUUCGGAAUUCAUUAAUCGUCGCAUGGAGGGCUAAUCCACACAGUAGGAUGAUAACAAGAGCAAAUUUGAAGAAGAAAAAAAACGAGAUCAAAAUAAAAUUACAAAACAACAAGGAUGAAAAGUCGACCGAUUUUCCAUCGGAUAGCUCGUUCGCAAUCGUAUCGCUUCGGCUGGCGAGUAUAAAUAAGCUGGAAUAAUAAUAAUAAGUCGCAAACCAAGGCCUUGUUUCUGCAUAAUGACUUCAUUGUGUUGUCAACCGUGUCUCUUUUGCCGCCACUAAAUGCAAUAUCUCGGCUGAUAUCCUCUCCGCGUCGUUCACGUGGUUAUAGGAACUGUUCCUAUACACGUAAGAAAAAAAGAAAAAGAAACAGUAGAAAAAGAAGGGAAAAAAAUCGAUCGCCAACGCAGUAAAUCUGUUAUACCCCGUAUAUAUAUAUAUAUAUACAGACACAUAUAUUCCUGUUUCCUUGCA